rnacentral:rRNA from 1 species
UACAGAGGGGGCAAGCGUUGUUCGGAAUUACUGGGCGUAAAGGGCGCGUAGGCGGCCUGUUAAGUCGAACGUGAAAUCCCCGGGCUCAACCCGGGAACUGCGUCCGAAACUGGCAGGCUCGAAUUCGGGAGAGGGAUGCGGAAUUCCAGGUGUAGCGGUGAAAUGCGUAGAUAUCUGGAGGAACAUCGGUGGCGAAGGCGGCAUCCUGGACCGGCAUUGACGCUGAGGCGCGAAAGCCAGGGGAGCAAACGGG